UGAAGCGUCGUCUAAUGGUAGGACACAAGAUUUUGGUCCUUGCAGUGAAGGUUCGAAUCCUUCCGUUUCAACCA
rnacentral:tRNA from 1 species